CCUGCGGAGGGAUCAUUACUGAGUUUACGCUCUACAACCCUUUGUGAACAUACCUAUAACUGUUGCUUCGGCGGGUAGGGUCUCCGCGACCCUCCCGGCCUCCCGCCUCCGGGCGGGUCGGCGCCCGCCGGAGGAUAACCAAACUCUGAUUUAACGACGUUUCUUCUGAGUGGUACAAGCAAAUAAUCAAAACUUUUAACAACGGAUCUCUUGGUUCUGGCAUCGAUGAAGAACGCAGCGAAAUGCGAUAAGUAAUGUGAAUUGCAGAAUUCAGUGAAUCAUCGAAUCUUUGAACGCACAUUGCGCCCGCCAGCAUUCUGGCGGGCAUGCCUGUUCGAGCGUCAUUUCAACCCUCAAGCUCUGCUUGGUGUUGGGGCCCUACAGCUGAUGUAGGCCCUCAAAGGUAGUGGCGGACCCUCUCGGAGCCUCCUUUGCGUAGUAACUUUACGUCUCGCACUGGGAUCCGGAGGGACUCUUGCCGUAAAACCCCCAAUUCUCCAAAGGUUGACCUCGGAUCAGGUAGGAAUACCCGCUGAACUUAAGCAUAUCAAAAGGGGG
rnacentral:rRNA from 1 species